rnacentral:rRNA from 1 species
GACGAACGCUGGCGGCGCGCUUAACACAUGCAAGUCGAGCGAUGAAAUCUUAACAGAACCCUUCGGGGCGAAGAUAAGACGGAUUAGCGGCGGACGGGUGAGUAACACGUGAGUAACCUGCCUUUUACACAGGGAUAGCCUCGGGAAACCGGGAUUAAAACCUGAUGAAACUAUCAAAUCACAUGAUUAAGAAAGUUAAAACUCCGGUGGUAAAAGAUGGACUCGCGUCCCAUUAGCUAGUUGGUGAAGGUAACGGCCCACCAAGGCAACGAUGGGUAGCCGGCCUGAGAGGGUGAACGGCCACAUUGGAACUGAGAAACGGUCCAAACUCCUACGGGAGGCAGCAGUGGGGAAUAUUGCACAAUGGGGGAAACCCUGAUGCAGCGACGCCGCGUGAGCGAAGAAGGCCUUCGGGUCGUAAAGCUCUUUUAUAUGGGAAGAUAAUGACGGUACCAUAAGAAAAAGCCCCGGCUAACUACGUGCCAGCCGCCGCCGUAACAC